rnacentral:rRNA from 1 species
GAUGAACGCUGGCGGCGUGCCUAAUACAUGCAAGUCGAGCGAAGCGGGGACGGGUGAGUAACACGUGGAUAACCUCCUAUAAGACUGGGAUAACUCUGGGAAACCGAAGCUAAACCGGAUAGUUCUAGAUGGAUCCUCGCUGCAUUAGCUAGUUGGUACGGUAACGGCUUACCAAGGCAACGAUGCAUAGCCGACCUGAGAGGGUGAUCGGCCACACUGGAACUGAGACACGGUCCAGACUCCUACGGGAGGCAGCAGUGGGGAAUCUUCCGCAAUGGGCGAAAGCCUGACGGAGCAACGCCGCGUGAGUGAAGAAGGUCUUCGGGUCGUAAAGCUCUGUUAUUAGGGAAGCGGUACCUAAUCAGAAAGCCACGGCUAACUACGUGCCAGCCGCCGCGGUAAUUC